CAGUAGCCACGGUAAUACAGAGGGUGCGAGCGUUAAUCGGAUUUACUGGGCGUAAAGCGUGCGUAGGCGGCUUUUUAAGUCGGAUGUGAAAUCCCUGAGCUUAACUUAGGAAUUGCAUUCGAUACUGGGAAGCUAGAGUAUGGGAGAGGAUGGUAGAAUUCCAGGUGUAGCGGUGAAAUGCGUAGAGAUCUGGAGGAAUACCGAUGGCGAAGGCAGCCAUCUGGCCUAAUACUGACGCUGAGGUACGAAAGCAUGGGGAGCAAACAGGAUUAGAUACCCGCGUAGUCCCUGUCUCUUAUAC
rnacentral:rRNA from 1 species